GUUGUGGAUUUCUAGGAGACAGACCUCGGCCAAGUGACGUCGGCUAGGCACUGUAUAGCGUGGCUCCAUAAACUUCAUCAGACUCCGAAACCCCACGUCCUCUACUACGGAGAAAGGUUGAUUAUCUAGAGUGAUGAACUCCAUCACCUUGUUCAUUAUUUGUUUUGCUCUGGCGCUGUCUGGAGCCAGUAGUUUGACUCUCUCAAAGGCCGUGUCAAUUAAAGUCUGAGUCUUGCCGAUGGUGGCUGUUUUUGCUUUCUUGGCAGCUUCAUUUUUCCGUUUGUGGUCAGCUUGCAGGUAAUCACUGUACACCGCCGCGUGCCUACUUUUCAAAUGUCCAAUGAGAUUUGAUGUGUUAAAUGACUUUUUUUUAGUCCCACCUCUUGAAAUAUCUGUUUUACACGCAUUGCAAACUGCAUGACGCGGAUCUUCCUUUGAGACGGUAAAAUAUUCCCACACGGUUGCCAUCUUCUUUUACCUGACUGAGAAAAGUGCGCGAAAAGAAAGGUUCCUCCCGAGCACAGCGUUCAUGCGACAUUUAAAUCAACAUAAACAUCGGCAGUGCCGCCGCUCCCAUAACGCGCAUUACGCGCUGUGCGUAGGGCACCAAGUGUCGAGGGGGCACCACCAAAAAUAGCCUAAUGAAAAAUCGUCAUAAUAAUUAUAAGGCCGAAAUUAUUUCAGUAGACUAUAGAAAUAUGAGGCACUUUUUAGGCAUACUACUCAAAGGUACCGAUGGUGCCCCCCUCUCCCCUCCCCCCUCCCCUCCCCACUCACACAAACACAAACGAAAACACAAUCUGCACAAUCUGCGUCCCAAGCGCCCUGUGGGUGCCCUUGCUGUCAGUGGUCUUUUGGAUUACUCGACAUUUUUGGAAAUGAAAAGGCAACAGGAGUCAGGAGCAGAAAAAAGAAAAAAGAGGAAACAGCGAGAUGAUGCCCGUGCAUCACUUGCAGGGUCAAUGCUGAAAUACGUUCAAGCGGGAGCACGAGGCCAAGAAGAGGACACAGAUGAGGAAGAACCAUCGACAAGUUCACCCAAUCAACCCCAGCCAGCAAGCAGGUCUGUACACCCCGCAACAGUACUAAGCCCUGAUCAACCACCCUCAACCACCACAGAUACACAGCAGAUAACCACCACCUCUGAAAGUCCUGUCACUGAGAGUCCGUCAGAAGGUGACAAGGUAGAAACGGGUUUGCCCUCUCCAACUGAUCCUGCUCUCUGGCCAUUACGGAUUUUAGAUGCGGAUCGUGUUGAGAUCGUACGAAGAGGUCCAUUUAGAGUCCCAUCAGAUUUUAAUUUUCCAAAGGGACUAGAUGGCAGGGCGUUUCAUAGUAGCCUGCAUUUCAAAACGCUCUCAAAUGGAGAGAAAGUCAAGAGAAGUUGGCUUGUUUACUCGAAACAGAACAAUGCUGCAUUCUGUUUUGCGUGUAAGCUUUUCAGUUUGAAAGCUAUAAAGCUCACUGCAGAGGGCAACGGUGACUGGUCCAACAUUAACAAUAAUUUGAUAAGUCAUGAAUGUAGCUCAGACCAUGCCCAGUGCAUGUUUAAAUGGAGAGAACUGGACACACGUUUACAGACAAAUACGACAAUAGACUACCAGGAACAGACAUUGCUGGAGGCAGAAAAAAGAAGGUGGCGAGAUGUUCUCAAACGCUUACUGAAAAUAACCCUAUCUCUUGCCUCAAGGAAUUUGUCAUUUAGAGGCUCUUCACAGUGUCUGUAUGAACCAGACAAUGGCAACUUCUUAAAAGAAGUGGAACUUUUAGGCAGUUUUGAUCCUGUGAUGGAGAACCACCUGACCAAGAUAACCGAUGAAAGCUCCCGAACACAUUAUCUUGGUCAGCAGACACAAAAUGAGCUGAUCCAGAUCGUCUCCAACAAAACAUUGCAAACAAUCCACACACAGAUUCAGGAAGCGAAAUAUUUCUCCAUAAUUCUUGACUGUACACCUGAUAUAAGCCACAAGGAGCAAAUGUCCCUCAUCGUGCGCAUUGUUGAAUUGGAGCCAAAGCCAAAUAUCAAGGAGUAUUUCCUUGGGUAUAUGGAGGUGGUUGAAACAACUGGCCUGAACCUGUCUACUGUCCUUUUAGACAAAUUAAAGGAACUCGACAUUCCAUUUGAUGAUUGCCGCGGACAGGCCUACGACAAUGGUGCGAACAUGAAGGGGAAAAAGCAAGGAGUUCAGGCCCGACUGCUACAGUUGAAUUCGAGGGCGUUGUUUGUUCCUUGCGCAGCUCAUUCUAUGAACCUUGUCAUAGCUGAUGCUGCGAAGUCAUCCAGGGAUGCCACUGGCUUUUUUGGCUAUUUGCAGAAGCUAUUUUGUUUCUUCUCAGGAGCUACAAAGCGGUGGAGCAUCUUGACAAAACACAUCAACCUAACUGUGAAAUCAUGGAGUGAUGUGAGGUGGGAGAGCAGGCUUAGGAGUGUCACAGCUGUCAGAAGUCAAAUCAAAGAAAUCCAAAAUGCGCUCAUCGAGGCUAGGGAAACUGUCAAUGACUCUGUUGCAAAAAUAGAGGCUCAAGCCCUGGCAGAAGAAGUGGCCUCUUUCAGAUUUCUGAUCUGUUCUGUUGUCUGGUGUGAAAUUCUUACAACCACUAACCAGGUAAACAAGCUCCUGCAGACAAGUUCAAUGCAGCUUGACAUUGCCGUCGGGCUCAUUGACAAUGCCAAAACCUCCCUCUCCAGAUACAGGCACUCUGGGUUUGCUCAGGCAGUGUCAACUGCCAAGGACCUUUGCGAGGCGAUGAACAUAGAGCCAGAGCUCAAGGAGAAAAGGCUCAGGAACACAAGAAAGCAGUUUGCAUAUGAGGCUGCAGACGAGCCCUUCAGUGAUGCCCUCAAAAGGCUUGAGGUAUCCUUUUUCAACAGUGUUGUGGACUCCGCUUUGAUGUCACUGCAGGAGCGUUUUGAGACCAUGACCCAGGUCAGAGACAAAUUUGGAGUGCUGCUUGAUUUCAGCAGAGUGCACGGAAUGUCCAAGGAGAACCUGCAAAAAAACUGCAUCGAAGUGCAGAAGACACUGACUGAGAAAGGAAAUUCGGAUAUUGAUGGACUUGAGAUGGUUCAGGAAAUCAUCAACCUUCCUCAACUGCCACCACAAACAACUGCCUUGGAGUUGCUCUCAUUUCUCCAUGAGAAUCGCCUUCAAGAGGUGUAUCCAAAUCUCUGGGUUGCUCUUCGAAUCGCAUUGACUCUCCCUGUUACAGUUGCCUCUGCUGAGCGAAGUUUUUCGAAACUGAAGCUCAUCAAAACUUACUUACGUUCAACAAUGGGGCAGGAACGUCUAAGUGGUCUUGCUGUCAUCAGCAUUAAUGGUGAAGUGGCUCAGAGGCUGUCCUAUGAUGACCUAAUUAAUGACUUUGCAGCGAGGCGUGUUCCUCUAUAGAGUCUUUAUAGAGAAAUGCUUGAUUGUUAAAGAAUAGCAUUAUGCUCUCUCAAAAAGGAUGUCCUUGAUUUAUUUUGAUAACACUUUUUUUGCACUUUACUUGAAUGUGUUUUAGCUGUUCUACAAAGCCUUACUGUUUACAAAGUAAGUAAAGUUGUGACUUUUCGUCCUCUAAAUCUUUGUUUUAUUUAAGAUUUUAUUGAUUGUACUUAUUGAUGUUAUUUAGUGUAAUUUAUUCAAAGUUACUGAAGGAAAGUUUGCACUUUCAAAUGUCAAAAGUUUGUUGUUUUGCUGUGUGUUUGCUGCUGCUAUUGUUUUAUAUGUUUGGUAAUAAAAAAGUUAAACUUU